rnacentral:rRNA from 1 species
UGUGUAGGCGGUCUUCUAAGUUUGGUGUGAAAUCUCCCGGCUUAACUGGGAGGGUGCGCCGAAAACUGGGAGGCUUGAGUGUGGGAGAGGGAAGUGGAAUUCCUGGUGUAGCGGUGAAAUGCGUAGAUAUCAGGAGGAACACCGGUGGUGUAGACGGCUUUCUGGGCCACUACUGACGCUGAGACACGAAAGCGUGGGGAGCAAACAGGAUUAGAUACCCUGGUAGUCCACGCCCUAAACGAUGCAUACUUGGUGUGAGUCAUUCAGUUGAUUCGUGCCGUAGCUAACGCGUUAAGUAUGCCGCCUGGGGAGUACGGUCGCAAGGCUGAA